CCUACGGGAGGCAGCAGUGAGGAAUAUUGGUCAAUGGACGAGAGUCUGAACCAGCCAAGUAGCGUGAAGGAUGACUGCCCUAUGGGUUGUAAACUUCUUUUAUAUGGGAAUAAAAUGUUCCACGUGUGGGAUUUUGUAUGUACCAUAUGAAUAAGGAUCGGCUAUCUCCGUGCCAGCAGCCGCGGUAAUACGGAGGAUCCGAGCGUUAUCCGGAUUUAUUGGGUUUAAAGGGAGCGUAGGUGGAUUGUUAAGUCAGUUGUGAAAGUUUGCGGCUCAACCCUAAAAUUGCAGUUGAAACUGGCAGUCUUGAGUACAGUAGAGGUGGGCGGAAUGCGUGGUGUAGCGGUGAAAUGCUUAGAUAUCACGAAGAACUCCGAUUGCGAAGGCAGUUCACUGGACUGCAACUGACACUGAGGCUCGAAAGUGUGGGUAUCAAACAGGAUUAGAUACCCUGGUAGUC
rnacentral:rRNA from 1 species